rnacentral:rRNA from 1 species
AAUGAACCGGCGAGUUACGAUUUGAUGCAAGGUUAAGCAGUAAAUGUGGAGCCGUAGCGAAAGCGAGUCUGAAUAGGGCGUUUAGUAUUUGGUCGUAGACCCGAAACCAGGUGAUCUACCCUUGGUCAGGUUGAAGUUCAGGUAACACUGAAUGGAGGACCGAACCGACUUACGUUGAAAAGUGAGCGGAUGAACUGAGGGUAGCGGAGAAAUUCCAAUCGAACCUGGAGAUAGCUGGUUCUCUCCGAAAUAGCUUUAGGGCUAGCCUCAAGUGAUGAUUAUUGGAGGUAGAGCACUGUUUGGACGAGGGGCCCCUCUCGGGUUACCGAAUUCAGACAAACUCCGAAUGCCAAUUAAUUUAACUUGGGAGUCAGAACAUGGGUGAUAAGGUCCGUGUUCGAAAGGGAAACAGCCCAGACCACCAGCUAAGGUCCCAAAAUAUAUGUUAAGUGGAAAAGGAUGUGGCGUUGCCCAGACAACUAGGAUGUUGGCUUAGAAGCAGCCAUCAUUUAAAGAGUGCGUAAUAGCUCACUAGUCGAGUGACACUGCGCCGAA